UCUUUUCCCACUUACAUGAACAUUCAUACUUUGUUUGUCCAAAACACCAACAAACCCUAGGAAUAUGCAUGAGAUUAAGAGAAGGAAUGUUGGUUGUACACAACCGUCUCACAAAGGAAGGAUCAAAGCCAGGCAGAGCAGUGUCAAUCCAGAUGAGCAGGGCCUUUUUCUAGGUUCUAAACACAAGGGAUUUGCUGAAUUGCAGUCGUGAUUUGUUAAGACACAUACCUUUGAUAUUUGAAAGAACUGUUUACAGAAGACUAUUGAAUUGCACAGGAUUGAUGAUUAAAAGAUUCAACUACAGUUCAAUGAGGCUCAGCAUAUUGUGUUGCCAAUAUUGCGCACUUGAGUAGGAAGUUCAAAAUGUUUGUAGCAAAUGGACAUAAGUAAAUAGCGUGCCUUCAAAUUGACCAACAUUUCUGAAGUGAAGGAUGACAACUUAGCCUCUAUUUGUUGGGAAAUUUUAUAACCAUGGUUGAACCUAAAGAACAGAUAUACAAAACCUGAAUGACAGAUAAAAUAAUAAGACAUGAUAAAUAUAAGAAGACUCUGAAAAGUCUGAAAACUUAAAUCAGGAAUUACAUGUAUGUGACAGAAGUUUUUAAAAACAUUUGAAUGUUGAGAUUGGUUGAGUAUCUCAAUGAUAAGAACUUGCAUUCUGCAAUCAGAAUUUGGAAGAGCUUUUCCUGUAUUAGCAUAAAUAAAUCUCUAAUUUGGUCAGUUACUUUUAAAAAUAUUAUAAUAAAUGAAUGCAAUAAUUUG